AGCUUGUCAAUGAUGUUUAGAUAUGUUUAAUAAGAAACAUAUGAACUUCAUAUUGAUUUCAGUGCUGAGAUAAGCU